rnacentral:rRNA from 1 species
UGUGGUUUAAUUCGAAGCAACGCGAAGAACCUUACCAGGCCUGACAUGCAGAGAACUUUCCAGAGAUGGAUUUGGUGCCUUCGGGGAACUCUGACACAGGUGCUGCAUGGCUGUCGUCAGCUCGUGUCGUGAGAUGUUGGGGUUAAGUCCCGUAACGAGCGCAACCCUUGUCCUUAGUUACCAGCACGUUAUGGUGGGCACUCUAAGGAGACUGCCGGUGACAAACCGGAGGAAGGUGGGGGAUGACGUCAAGUCAUCAUGGCCCUUACGGCCUGGGCUACACACGUGCUACAAUGGUCGGUACAAAGGGUUGCCAAGCCGCGAGGUGGAGCUAAUCCCAUAAAACCGAUCGUAGUCCGGAUCGCAGUCUGCAACUCGACUGCGUGAAGUCGGAAUCGCUAGUAAUCGUGAAUCAGAAUGUCACGGUGAAUACGUUCCCGGGCCUU